rnacentral:rRNA from 1 species
AAUUGGGAGGAUGAGCCCUGAUCCCAGUCUGAUUUUGGAAACUAAGCAGGGUCAGGCCUGGUUGGUACUUAGAUGGGAGGCCAUCUGAGAAUGCCAAGAACCUUGAGUUA